rnacentral:rRNA from 1 species
AUUGAACGCUGGCGGCAGGCCUAACACAUGCAAGUCGAGCGGAGAGGCGGACGGGUAAGUAAUGCCUAGGAAUCUGCCUGGUAGUGGGGGAUCACGUACGGAAACGGACGCUAAUACCGCAUACUAUCAAAGUAGCCUCGGUCGGAUUAGCUAGUUGGUGGGGUAAAGGCCUACCAAGGCGAAGAUGCGUAACUGGUCCGAGAGGGUGAUCAGGCACACGGGGACUGAGACACGGUCCAGACUCCUACGGGAGGCAGCAGUGGGGAAUAUUGGACAAUGGGCGAAAGGCUGAUCCAGCAAUGGCGCGUGUGUGAAGAAGGUCUUCGGAUUGUAAAGCACUUUAAGUUGGGAAGCGUUACCCGCAGAAGAAGCACCGGCUAACUCCGUGCCAGCAGCCGCGGUAAUUC